CCUCCAAAAACAGGGGCGGACAGCUGAGAGAAAAUAUUCACACGCAAGAUAUUGAACGUGAAAGUCAGCAGAUUUUGGACGCUAACCGCGUAGCCUGAUUAUGAACAUUGGUCGAUGUCGACAGAGCAGCUGAUUGUUAAGUGAUGUGCGUGGAAGUGACCGAGGUUCAUGAGUGUGACUUUCUAAUAAUAGAUCACCAACUCGUGUAUAAUAGUAACACGUUAGCAGGACCCCAGUUCAUUUACAGUUACAGUUAUUACCACAUAACAUAACACAAACAUAUCAUUUGGAGUUACUUGGAUAUCUGUAUUUCAUUACACUUUAAUUCACUAUAUUUAAACUCACUGGCAACUUAAUUAGGUGCAUUUUUAUGUAAUCCAACACAACCAAUUCAUAUGUAUGAAUGGUGCCCUCUAAAGGAAGUACUGCACAUUUUUCUGCAGAUAUAAAAUAACAGUCCUUUCAAACGUGUUUUUUGUUUGAGUAUUUUAGUGUCACAUGAUCACUUUUAUGCUGAUAAGUGAUUCAUUUGGUUCAUAUUGAUUGUUUUUGAAAUAGGAAUCACUGUCAACAGGUACACAAAACGACCAUUGGUGCCUAUUCUCAUUCCAGCUGUCAACACUGCUCUUUUAAUUGUGACAUUCUCGUCUUUGUUACCGUUUAACAAAUGGAACCAGAGAUAGUUUACUGAAUACAAAUUGUGUAUUAUGAAAAACACAAAGGGCUGCAUUUAAUUUGCAUUGGUUUUUAAUUCUAAUUCAUUUGCUCAUCUAUUUUAAUUCUAUUUUUCGGAAAUUAGCAAAAGCAGAACCACAUCACGUUACAGGAAACACUCCAUUGGAACUACUUUUGAUGCGUUUGCUCAUAGUGUGCGACACAUCGUCUACAUUUACUAUUCUUAGAGAAAACACUAAGCUACUUGGACUUUACUUGGGUAGCAAAGCUACUUUACUUCUAAUCUACUUGACAAUAGUAGUUACGUGUUAAUGCAGAUUAGAUUCUACCAACAACACUUAGGAUGGAUUUAUGCACUAUAAUCCUUUUGGAAGGAUGACACCACCCAAAAGUACACAAACCACUUAACCAACACCAACAGUAAAAUGCUGCUUAUCGCUAAAAUACAGUAUGAGUCCCAGAGGCCAUAUUCUGCAUGAAUUUUUGAUGUGGUUUGCUCUCUUGGAGUCAUGGAGUAUUUCCCCAGUGUGCAACUUUUCCGCACAAAAUCCUAUUUAGAGCAGUUAAAAUAUGAUGCAUUGUUAAUGAAAUGAUCAACAGUCAUUCAGUAAGCAGGCAUUUACACAAUGUAAUAGCUCUCCAUAGUUAGACUUGUGUAUGCUUCACCAGCAUGACACGAGUGAACUGUGCGUUCACUGUUAUGUUUAAGGACAGAUGUUUGCAGCUGUGCGUGUUCUCCAGAAGAUGGAGCUAAAGUAUUGCAGGAUGAGAAGCAGUUAUUAAGCUAAUGUGCUUAACCGAUUACACUCUUGUCUAUCUUGCUUGUUAAAACAGAAGGAAUGCAAUUAUAUGGCUGGAAUGUUAUGACAUUUAUUUCACAUUAAUCACCACUUUAGAAAAAUGUAAUAAACGCUGUUUUAUUGAUAUCAACGAUACAGGCUGCCAAGUGCAGAAAGGAAAUUAAAUUGUUGCAUUUUUCAUUAACGGAUGGAUGUAAAACUGUUUUUAUUUCCCCUCUCAAAGAUGAAAUAAACUCUCAACGUGCAGCCGCGGUGGAUGAAGAUGUAAUCUCUCUCCUGAUAAAUGAACCUCUGCUUCUCUAUCAGAGGCUGCCGCGGCCGAAUCCGAGGGAAACAGCAAAUUAGUUUCUACCACACGAUGGCCGGAUCUCUGUCAGGAGGUCAGCGAGUCAUGCGAUAAGUAGAUAAUCAGGAAAGAAAAAAACGACGAGAGAAUAAGAACAAACCUGGAGUUCAUAUUUCAGGACAGCAUUCGGCUUUACAUGGCAGAAAUACUCAUUUAAAAAGGUUCUCAUCGUGACUCAAAGUAAAGAAACAUACAAUGUGGUCUUUUUAUAUUACACUGUAUCGCUGAAAUUAGUUAUAUCUAACUCUAUGUCUAUGUAAAUAUAUAAUGCCUAUAUGGCUAUUUAUCUCGUUACACCUGUUCUCCGGUUCCCCCUCAAGUGAAACAUGUUAGCUCUGUCGCUAAUUUUGUGGUAGAUUGCGCUGUUUGCGCUGUUAGCGCUGUUAGCACGGCGUGCUACCAGCUGCUGGGCCGCUUUGUCAACAACACAUUGGCUGCUGAAAUGUUCACAUGUACUACUUUUCAGAUUAAGUAUUGCCAUAAAACUGCACACGAUGAGCAAAUACAGAACAACCUAUUGUCACAUAUUAAACCGACGAUUUCCAUCCUUUUCAGAUUGUGGAGUAGGAGGAGCUGUGACUUUCCAAAAAAAACGACCACCGCACCAUGACAGGCUGUGUGCAGGGUAAAACUUGGUGGUGAAGCACCAGCACGCAGAUGAGCGGCCUACAGGGAACCUCCUUGCAUGUUCUGCAAGCUGUCGUCCAACGCUGUUAAAAAUAAACAGUUUGCAUCUGA